GAAGGACUUGCUAUAGCUGAAGAAUUCACACAAAACCAUGUGAGAGGGAGACAGGCACAUGACCAGCUUUGAAUGUAUGUUUCCCACGCAACAGAAACCACAAAUAUGUGCAACUGAUGAACAGCUAAACCAAAUGCUGUGUUGGUGGCUGUUGCAACUUCACAUAUGGUGCUCUGCUUGACCACUUGCUCUGCAAGUUCUGCGAGAAGGCUGCAUUUGUUUCAGACCUGCCAGAGUGUCUGGGACAGCAGUCCUACAAACAACUCCUUGUUUUCCCGUUUCCUUGACCCUAUUGCCAGGCCAAGGCAAAGGGUCUGCCAUGGGCGGCUGCAUGUAAUUUCAUAGGCUGUGCAUCUGAAGUUGACCUCUGCUAUCUGGUGAGUGCAUCAGGCUGGGAGAUGGGAGAUCAGAACUUUCUUCCUGACUCUUCCAAGCUGCUGGUGUUUCGUGGCUAAUCUCUUUAUCUUAUCUUUUAGUUUCCUUGUCAUCUCAAACAAGGGAUAAUGCUCUCCUGGGAACAGUUUCACCUCGAAGAGACAGGCAGCUCCUCAAAACAAUAUGGUUAAUCUUCAAGAAUUUGUCUGCCAGCUGUCUUCCAGGAAGCAGAAUCAAGGAAUGGCCUGGUUAUCAAGGGUGGCUGGCUGGAGACCUCCUCUGCCUUCUCCUCUACCAUUGUCACUCUUGCUAUGAUUUACUUAAGGUAUGUUCUGAACCAGUGGAACAAAUGUUCUGUGCUCUCAAAGGCAAAAACUGCCUUGGAAACCAAAGUCAAACCCAAAGAAGGGAAGUGAUGGCCACUCAUUUUGUUACAAACCUCCACCUCAUUUCUGGAGUCCUGUCUGAGAUUUUCAAAUAUAUGGACUUUACAGGACAAAACAGAGGGGAAUGGCAGAGAGGAACAGCUGAGAACAAGGACUGGCAUUCUUCAUUGCUGCGAGAUCUACGCCUUGGACUCAGAAUCACUGGCCAUAUUUUAUCUGUGAGUGAAUGAUGAAAUCAUCUGGUUGUCUCUGAGAAAGUGUUAAAUGUAGGGGUGGAAUAAAAGGACCAAAGGGCCAAAUUCUGCCCAGACUAACACCUGUUUGCCUUAGGGAUUUAAAUAAAGACAGAAUUUCUUUCCUAAGCUAAAUUAAUCUCUUUUAUGUGCAAGAAGCUUUCACUUAAGCAAUUUUGAGUGUUGCAGAUCUAGCAAAACAAAAUAUGGCUUUUUGAGAAGAAUCGCCAAGUUUUAUUUCAUUUGAAACCCCACUGACUUCAUUUACGCUACACACAAGGGAAGGAAGGCAUUUUAAACUCAGCAGCUUAUUGGCGGAUGCACUGUGAGUUGGAAUAAGUACACACUGUCACUCGGUUUUUCUGAAGGAAGAUUUUCUCAGCCCCUUCACCAGAAAGUAAUUGAAUGGGUUACAGCUCUAUAUGGCUCAGCUUUAAAAUCUCUCCUGCUGCUACAAAGAAUAAAAGCAAAUGAGGAAACUGUAUCUAGACUGGAAGCCACGGUAAACUGAGUUUUACUUAGAAAAACAGAAAGGAUGAAUUUACUUCCCUCGUUCAGAGAGUUCUCUGAAUUGAAAUAUCUGAAUGGGCCCUGGUGUGUCAAUUUUCAGGCUACCUUUUGAACUGAACUACGUUAAGAGGGCAAUUGCAAAGACUGCAAUGAAAUGCCAAACUUGUAAGGUUUUUGAAGAACUGAUUGGCUAUCAGUCUGCUCUCUGAUCGUUUAACACUGGCCCUA
ensembl:lncRNA